rnacentral:lncRNA from 1 species
GGCAAAAUGCGGGAUUCAUUUCCAGGUUCCCGUUGGCGGGCAGAUGGAUAUUCAGGUGCUCCCAGAAAAGCGGGGACCGUCUCGUGUCACAGUUUGCUGGGAAGACAAUCAGCAUUGCUCCCAGUAUGCUCUCAUGCCUCCUUCUGUAGGUUGGCUGUAACUGCGGAGCACGACAUUAGGUGGUACGGAAUAUCCCCUUGGUUCAGUUUGGGCCAGGUGGCCCAGCUGGGAUCCCCGCCGCCCUCCCGCAACUUCUUGUGCCACUCCAGCCUCCUGGCUCGAAGGAGAGCAUAAGAAGCAGAAGCGUCCUUGGUUUCUGUGGAAGCAGCGCUCUGCUACAGCACUUAGGUGGCUGUGUGAUCCGUGCUGUUCAUGGCCCGAUUCCCAAACCUGCAGGACAGGUGCCUGCCAGAAGAAAAAGAUCUCUGCCCUAGCCAGACCCACGACAUUUCCCUAGCGCACUGCAGUAGCACAAAGUGAGGGUAGUCCUGUCGCUGGAGUGAGUAUCUGCGCUGCACCCGGUGGUACUGCAGCGUAACAUCGUGGCUUACGGGCCCUGAGUCUGCCGAGGUGCUUCCAAAGGAAGGGGCUCUACUGCUCCCCAAAGGCUGCGCAGCAGCAGUCUGUGGAUAAGAGGAUGCUCUGCCCAUGCGCAGCAUUUCCACCGACGCAGAGCGUAGCUACUCAGAAUGCUGUGUGGGCAAACGCAGCCGAUUUUUAACAGUAUCAUCUGGGCUGCACAGUUGCAUCUAAACCCCUGCGUUUCUACACCAGAGCCCUCCCAUAGCUGGAGGAAGCAAGCAGCCGUUCAGGACAGACCUGAGAAGACAAUGGCAUUUAACAAAUGUGACUCAGCCAAUCUGAGAGGAUACAAAGACACGUGGGUUACCAAGUGUCCCAAAAUGGGGUCUCCUCUCCGUGGAAGGCAGGCAGAUACAAGAUGGCGCCUCCCUAUGCAGGGAGGUGGGAGGGAUUUCCUGUGCAGGGCCCUGCCACCUCCGGUGGGGCUGAUUGACAUUGGGCCCUGCCCUUCACCUGAGGUUUCUUUCCCACCCCGGCAUGCAGUCGGCACAGCGCUGCCUGCUGCUGACCAGGAAGAGCUGCGGGCCGGAGAGGCAGGUGUGUGGAGCAGGAGCAGCAGCUUUACACGCCACAGCGUUCGGUGCCUGGCUGCCCGAGUGGUAAGAGAUGUUCUGUUGCUCAUAGGGCGUAGUGAGGAGGGCUUGAAAGUGUAGAUUCACGGAAAGGGAGGGGGGCUCUCUGAGUGUUCUGGGGAGCCGUUCUGCCCCCUUUCUGGAGGGCAAGCGGGACAGAUGCUGUUGUUAGCAGGGAAGAUGAGAGAGCCAUAGAGCUGCAGCUUGAGGCUGUGUUUGUGCGCUGCCGGGAGUGCUAUUGCCCAGGAGCCGCCUUUUCUCAGUGCAGCUACUCAAGGACAAGGCCCCGCGUCCUUUGGAAGGGGUGUGUGACAGGGUAAUCCUGUCCCCUCUGGCUUCAAGCCACGCAUGCUAUUGGAAAUGCAGGGUUGAAUCCUGCUGUAGCCCCUGCAGCCUGAAAGGUACCGAAGAACUGGGCUCGAGGGCCCAAAGGCUGGGAUUGGCAAGUGGCCUUUCCGUUUCAUACUGAUGCUUUCAGGAGCAUAGCCAUAUCUUUAACUUUGGCCUGCCGAGAACUGUCUGUGGGUUACUUGUGCCUGCUGGGGUGUAGCCCUCGAGGCCCGGCUAAACAG